AAUGCGAUAAGUAAUGUGAAUUGCAGAAUUCCGUGAAUCAUCGAAUCUUUGAACGCACAUUGCGCCCUCUGGUAUUCCGGGGGCAUGCCUGUCCGAGCGUCAUUGCGAACCCCUCAAGCACGGCUUGUGUGAUGGGCCCUCCCGCGUCUUGGUCGUCAAGACGGGCCCGAAAUGCAGUGGCGGCUUCGCGGUUAUCCGAUCAGCCAGAGCGUAUGGGGACUCUCUCUCUUGUCACACGCCCGCGGCGCGGACCGACGCCUGUCGACCUUUAUUCAUCUUCUCUCGGUUGACCUCGGAUCAGGUAGGGAUACCCGCUGAACUUAAGC
rnacentral:misc_RNA from 1 species